AUUGAACGCUGGCGGCAGGCCUAACACAUGCAAGUCGAACGAGUGGCGGACGGGUGAGUAAUGUCUGGGAAACUGCAUGAUGGAGGGGGAUAACUACUGGAAACGGUAGCUAAUACCGCAUACCAUCGGAUGUGCCCAGAUGGGAUUAGCUAGUAGGUGGGGUAAAGGCUCACCUAGGCGACGAUCCCUAGCUGGUCUGAGAGGAUUACCAGCCACAUGGGAAGUGAGACACGGUCCAGACGCGUACGGGAGGCAGCAGUGGUGAAUAUUGCACAAUGGGCUCAAGCCUGAUGCAGCCAUGCCGCGUGUAUUAAGAAGGCCUUCGGGUUGUAAAGUACUUUCAGCGAGGAGGCGUUACCCGCAGAAGAAGCACCGGCUCACUCCGUGCCAGCCGCCGCGGUAAUAC
rnacentral:rRNA from 1 species